rnacentral:lncRNA from 1 species
GACAACGUGGGCCGCUCUAGUCUCCAGGCGGCGGUGCUCAGUGGUCGGUUACUGAGGGGCCUUGUGGCAACAAGGUGACAUAGGACAAACAGCACUCAGGUGAGCACCUGGAAAAGGCUGUUGAAGCACACAGGUGAGCUUGAUGCAGCUGCCGGCACUAGAACUACUUUAUGAGCAUAAUUCCUUGGACCAUAAUCGUCACCUGAGGAAGCCGCGUGAGACACCAGUCUUAGGAUUCCAAAGUGAAGAGGAACGUGCCCUCCUCGAUGAACGCCUGUGGAAGCCUUUGAGCAGCCCUUUCAUGGCGGAAGAGAGGGCAACUCUGAGGUGAUGGAGCAGCGGCUAGGCAGAGGGCUGCUGAGGAAGCAGAGGGAGGAUCGCUUCAGCUCUCGGCAGGCUGGAGCCUCAGAGCAAACCUCAAGUAACUUUCUGUGGAUGCUGUGAGGAGGGCUGCUGGAGAGAUGACUGAGCAGUUAAGAGCACUUGUUGCUCUUGGCAGACGACCUGGCUUCUAGUCCUAGCACCACAUGGAGGCUGACCGCCAUCUGUAACUCUUCUUCUGACUAUGAAGAUACUGUGCAUACAUUGGCAUAUACACAAUCACAGGCAAAGCAUUCAGAUUCAAAAUAAAUGUCUAGAAAAGU